rnacentral:lncRNA from 1 species
CUGAGUUAAUUGGUAGGUGUGGUUAAUGAUUAUGGCCCAUCCUACAUUGUAGUGAAGAUGUCUGGCUUAUUUUUGUUAACAAAUUGACUCUGGCUGGGACUUAAAAUAUUAAAGGAUUUUUUUCUUGAUGUCUUUGGGCGACGGGACAUCUUUCACUAUCAUUGGGGAGUUGUACUCAAUCCUGGCCUGUCCGAGGCUUACCUUAUCCAUUACAACUGUAGUUACCGAGUGAGAUGGACUUUGAUGUACACUAAUGAAGUCUUACUCCUUCUCAAGGAGAUAGAUCAUCUUUUACCAAGAUAGGACAGCUUAUAUUCAUUAUAUCUUUUCAAUUGUACAACAUUUCUGUAUAAUAAUUGUACUGAGAUAUUUAGCUGUUGUUUAAUUAGUAAUUACUGUGUGGUGUGUAAA